GAUGAACGCUAGCUACAGGCUUAACACAUGCAAGUCGCGGGGCAGCAUGGGGGUUGCUUGCAAUCCCCGAUGGCGACCGGCGCACGGGUGAGUAACGCGUAUCCAACCUGCCCUUCACCACGGGAUAACCCGGCGAAAGUCGGACUAAUACCGUAUGUUGUCCAUUGACGGCAUCCGAUUUGGACGAAAGGCUUGGCGGUGAGGGAUGGGGAUGCGUCCGAUUAGCCAGACGGCGGGGUAAUGGCCCACCGUGGCUACGAUCGGUAGGGGUUCUGAGAGGAAGGUCCCCCACACUGGAACUGAGACACGGUCCAGACUCCUACGGGAGGCAGCAGUGAGGAAUAUUGGUCAAUGGGCGUAAGCCUGAACCAGCCAAGUAGCGUGCAGGAUGACGGCCCUAUGGGUUGUAAACUGCUUUUAUGCGGGGAUAAAGUGGCCCACGUGUGGGCUUUUGCAGGUACCGCAUGAAUAAGGACCGGCUAAUUCCGUG
rnacentral:rRNA from 1 species